UUAUCAAAAACAUGUCUGUUUGAAGUUUUAAAGAGUCUAGCCUGCCCACUGAUUGGAGAUUGAAAAAUUAAAGGGCCGCGGUAUUUUGACCGUGCAAAGGUAGCAUAAUCAUUUGUCUUUUAAUUAAAGACUUGUAUGAAUGGUUGGACAAAGGGGAAACUGUCUUUAUGGUAUUAUUUUAAAUUUAACUUUUAAGUGAAAAGGCUUAAAUGAACUAAGGGGACGAUAAGACCCUAUAAAACUUUAUAUGUAUAUAAUAUUUGUUUAAAUUUAUUAAUUAAGGGCUAAUAUUAUAAAAUAUUUUGUUGGGGCGACGCUUAUAUAAUUAGUUAUAACUGUAUAAAAUAGAUUACUUAAGUUGUUGAGUUAAUAUUGAAUGAUCCUUUUUAAAGAUUAAGAGAUUAAGUUACUUUAGGGAUAACAGCGUAAUUUUUUUUGAGAGCCCAUAUUGAGAAAAGAGUUUGCGACCUCGAUGUUGAAUUAAAAUAUCUAUAUAAUGUAGUAGUUAUAUAAGAAGGUCUGUUCGACCUUUAAAUUUUUACGUGAUCUGAGUU
rnacentral:rRNA from 1 species